rnacentral:rRNA from 1 species
UACGUAGGGUGCGAGCGUUAAUCGGAAUUACUGGGCGUAAAGCGCGCGCAGGCGGUUUCUCAAGUCAGUGGUGAAAGCCCGGAGCUCAACUCCGGAACUGCCAUUGAAACUGUGAAACUUGAGGAUGAGAGAGGUGAGUGGAAUUCCCAGUGUAGAGGUGAAAUUCGUAGAUAUUGGGAAGAACACCGGUGGCGAAGGCGGCUCACUGGCUCAUUUCUGACGCUCAGGCGCGACAGCGUGGGGAUCAAACAGG